rnacentral:ribozyme from 2 species
ACCUUAAUGCAGCUCCGAAAGGAACGGUGACAAGCCCGUAUUAAUGCAGAGUCAAGGA